GAGGGGGCGGGGCCACGCCCAGGCCCCGCCUCCCCCGGGGGGCUCCGGCCCCGCCCCCCCUCGGCGGCUCCGUCCGGGCCCGGGGCCUGGAGGGGAGCGGGAGCGGCGCCGGGAGCUGCCUCCGCCAUCGGGCGCCGCGCCGGAAGUGGCGUCACCGGAAGCCGGGGGGUGGGUUUUAUAGGGGGGAGUCACGUGACGCGCGUUGCUAGGAGACGAGGGGGCGGGGCCGGGCGUUGCUAGGAGACGGAGGGGUUGGCGGGGGUCACGUGACGCGCGUUGCUAGGAGACGAAGGGGCGUAGCCGGGCGUUGCUAGGGGCGGGGCCAGGCGUUGCUAGGAGACGGGGGGGAGGCCUCAGGGCCUCCCAGUGCUCCCAGUGCCCUCCCAGUAGGCCACUGGCUCCGCCCAGUCCCCUCCCAGUUCAUCCCAGUUCAUCCCAGUGCCCCCCAGUCCCCUCCUAUACUGGUCCCAGUGCCUCCCAGUCCCCGCCCAGUCCCUCCAAUCCCCUCCCAGUCCCUCCCAGUCCCCUCCCAGUCCUUCCCAGUCGCUCCCAGUGCCCCUAAUCCCCUCCUAUACUGGUCCCAGUCCCUCCCAGUUACCUCCCAGUCCCUCCCAGUUACCUCCCAGUCCCUCCAAUCCCCUCCCAGUCCCCUCCCAGUCCCUCCAAUCCCCU
rnacentral:lncRNA from 1 species